GUCUUUUUGUAAGUAUAAAAAGUCCGGUCUGCCCACUGAUGAGUAUAUUAAAGGGCCGCAGUAUUUUAACUGUGCAAAGGUAGCAUAAUCAUUAGUUCUUUAAUUGAGAUCUUGAAUGAAUGAUUAGACAAAAAAAUUACUGUCUUUAUAAUAAUAAUUGAAUUUAACUUUUAAGUGAAAAGGCUUAAAUAAUUUGAAGUGACGAUAAGACCCUAUAAAGCUUAAUAUUAUUAUAAAAUUUUUGGUAAGUUAGAUAUAAAAUUUUAAGGUUUAUUAAUAUUUUAUUGGGGCGAUAGAAGUAAAAAGUUUAAUAACUGCUUUUUUUUUAAUCAAGUAUGAAUGGUUAGUGUGUAAAUGAUCUUAUUUUAUAGAGUAAAAGAUUAAGUUACUUUAGGGAUAACAGCGUUAUUUUUCUUGAGAGUUCUUAUCGAAAGAAAAGAUUGCGACCUCGAUGUUGAAUUAAAAUAUCUAUAUAAUUGUAGUAGUUAUAUGAGAAGGUCUGUUCGACCUUUAAAUUUUUACGUGAUUUGAGUUCAGACCGGUUUAAACCAGGUCGGUUUCUAUCUUUUAAUUAAAUUGUAAUUAUUUUA
rnacentral:rRNA from 1 species